UGGUGGCCGCAGAGACCAGCGAGAAGCGACUGUUUACUAAAAACACAGGUCCGUGCGAAGCCGUAAGGCGAUGUAUACGGACUGACGCCUGCCCGGUGCUGGAACGUUAAGGGGACCGGUUAGUCAUAUUUCGGUGUGGCGAAGCUGAGAACUUAAGCGCCAGUAAACGGCGGUGGUAACUAUAACCAUCCUAAGGUAGCGAAAUUCCUUGUCGGGUAAGUUCCGACCUGCACGAAUGGCGUAACGACUUCUCGACUGUCUCAACCAUAGGCCCGGUGAAAUUGCAUUACGAGUAAAGAUGCUCGUUUCGCGCAGCAGGACGGAAAGACCCCGGGACCUUUACUAUAGCUUGAUAUUGGUGUUCGGUUCGGCUUGUGUAGGAUAGGUGGGAGACUGUGAAGCCGCAACGCCAGUUGUGGUGGAGUCGUUGUUGAAAUACCACUCUGGUCGUGCUGGAUGUCUAACCUGGGUCCGUGAUCCGGAUCAGGGACAGUGUCUGGUGGGUAGUUUAACUGGGGCGGUUGCCUCCUAAAGGGUAACGGAGGCGCCCAAAGGUUCCCUCAGCCUGGUUGGCAAUCAGGUGUUGAGUGUAAGUGCACAAGGGAGCUUGACUGUGAGACUGACGGGUCGAGCAGGGACGAAAGUCGGGACUAGUGAUCCGGCGGUGGCUUGUGGAAGCGCCGUCGCUCAACGGAUAAAAGGUACCCCGGGGAUAACAGGCUGAUCUUCCCCAAGAGUCCAUAUCGACGGGAUGGUUUGGCACCUCGAUGUCGGCUCGUCGCAUCCUGGGGCUGGAGUCGGUCCCAAGGGUUGGGCUGUUCGCCCAUUAAAGCGGUACGCGAGCUGGGUUUAGAACGUCGUGAGACAGUUCGGUCCCUAUCCGCUGUGCGCGUAGGAGUCUUGAGAAGGGCUGUCCCUAGUACGAGAGGACCGGGACGGACGAACCUCUGGUGUGCCAGUUGUUCUGCCAAGGGCAUGGCUGGUUGGCUACGUUCGGGAGGGAUAACCGCUGAAAGCAUCUAAGCGGGAAGCCUGCUUCGAGAUGAGGGCUCCCACCUCCUUGAGGGGUUAAGGCUCCCAGUAGACGACUGGGUUGAUAGGCCAGAUAUGGAAGCCGGGUGACCGGUGGAGUUGACUGGUACUAAUAGGCCGAGGGCUUGUCC
rnacentral:rRNA from 1 species